rnacentral:rRNA from 1 species
ACGGGAGGCAGCAGUGAGGAAUAUUGGUCAAUGGACGGAAGUCUGAACCAGCCAAGUAGCGUGAGGGAUGACGGCCCUAUGGGUUGUAAACCUCUUUUGUGAGGGAAUAAAGUGCGCCACGUGUGGUGUAUUGCAUGUACCUUACGAAUAAGGAUCGGCUAACUCCGUGCCAGCAGCCGCGGUAAUACGGAGGAUCCGAGCGUUAUCCGGAUUUAUUGGGUUUAAAGGGAGCGUAGGCGGAAGGUCAAGUCAGCUGUGAAAUGUAGUCGCUCAACGUCUGCACUGCAGUUGAAACUGGCCUCCUUGAGUGCGUAAGAGGCAGGUGGAAUUCGUCGUGUAGCGGUGAAAUGCUUAGAUAUGACGAAGAACACCGAUUGCGUAGGCAGCAGACCAGGCCGUAAAUGACGCUCAUGCACGAAAGUGCGGGGAUCGAACAGGAUUAGAUACCCUGGUA